rnacentral:rRNA from 1 species
UACGAGGGGGGCGAGCGUUGUUCGGAAUUAUUGGGCGUAAAGGGAGCGUAGGCGGUUUUGUGAGUCGUGUGUGAAAUCUUCAGGCUCAACCUGAAGUCUGCACACGAAACUGCAGGGCUUGAGUAUGGGAGAGGUGAGUGGAAUUCCUGGUGUAGCGGUGAAAUGCGUAGAUAUCAGGAGGAACACCUGUGGCGAAAGCGGCUCACUGGACCAUUACUGACGCUGAGGCUCGAAAGCUAGGGGAGCAAACAGG